rnacentral:rRNA from 1 species
AAACCAACUGGGAUUACCUUAGUAACGGCGAGUGAAGCGGUAAAAGCUCAAAUUCGAAAUCUGGUACUUUCAGUGCCCGAGUUGUAAUUUGUAGAAUUUGUCUUUGAUUAGGUCCUUGUCUAUGUUCCUUGGAACAGGACGUCAUAGAGGGUGAGAAUCCCGUUUGGCGAGGAUACCUUUUCUCUGUAAGACUUUUUCGAAGAGUCGAGUUGUUUGGGAAUGCAGCUCAAAGUGGGUGGUAAAUUCCAUCUAAAGCUAAAUAUUGGCGAGAGACCGAUAGCGAACAAGUACAGUGAUGGAAAGAUGAAAAGAACUUUGAAAAGAGAGUGAAAAAGUACGUGAAAUUGUUGAAAGGGAAGGGCAUUUGAUCAGACAUGGUGUUUUUUGCAUGCACUCGCCUCUCGUGGGCUUGGGCCUCUCAAAAAUUUCACUGGGCCAACAUCAAUUCUGGCAGCAGGAUAAAUCAUUAAGAAUGUAGCUACUUCGGUAGUGUUAUAGCUUUUUGGAAUACUGUUAGCCGGGUAUU